rnacentral:rRNA from 1 species
AGUGAACGCUGGCGGUAGGCCUAACACAUGCAAGUCGAACGGCAGCACAGUAAGAGCUUGCUCUUACGGGUGGCGAGUGGCGGACGGGUGAGGAAUACAUCGGAAUCUACUUUUUCGUGGGGGAUAACGUAGGGAAACUUACGCUAAUACCGCAUACGACCUACGGGUGAAAGCAGGGGAUCUUCGGACCUUGCGCGAUUGAAUGAGCCGAUGUCGGAUUAGCUAGUUGGCGGGGUAAAGGCCCACCAAGGCGACGAUCCGUAGCUGGUCUGAGAGGAUGAUCAGGCACACUGGAACUGAGACAAGGACCAGACUCCUACGGGAGGAAGCAGGGGGGAAUAGUGGACAAUGGGCGCAAGCCUGAUCCAGCCAUACCGCGUGGGUGAAGAAGGCCUUCGGGUUGUAAAGCCCUUUUGUUGGGAAAGAAAAGCAGCAGGUUAAUACCCCGCUGUUCGGACGGUACCCAAAGAAUAAGCACCGGCUAACUUCGUG